rnacentral:lncRNA from 1 species
CUAACUUGACUCAUUGGAAUAUGUAAAUAAGGGCAACAACAACAACAACAACUAUGUGUCAUGACCCAAACCGAUGGGCCGCGAUGGGCACCCGAUACCUUACUCAACCGAGUACCAACGUAACGUAUCUUUCUUAUUACAUUAUCAUAUACACAUGAUAUACGGGCCUAAUAGGCCAACAUAAUUCUUUAUAAACUCAAAACAUAGGCCGACAAGGCCGUACAAUCUUUUAUGUAUACGACAUAUAUCUACAAGCCUUUAAGAAUACAUAAAUGUCAUAAAGGUCGGGACAGAGUCCUACCAUACUAAACAAUACACGUCUAAAUCAUACUAACCAAACGAGCAACUCUGAAGCAAAUGGCGUGCACCAACAUCUUCCACUGAGCUGAUAGCCUACUUGGAGGGCUCUCGACCUGUCUAUCGGGACCUGCGGGCAUGAAACGCAGCGUCCCCAGGCAAAAGGGACGUCAGUACGAAUAAUGUACCGAGUAUGUAAGGCAUAUAAAUAAGUACAUAAGAGACAUGGAAGAAAUAUAGAGUACAUGACUCAACCUGUAAGUCUGAAUAACUUUGUANNNNNNNNNNNNNNNNNNNNNNNNNAUACAUACAUAUAUACACGUAUAUAACGUCGUUUGAAACAUAUUUCAGCCACUGUGGACAACAUUAUCAUUAUAUACCAGCUGAUCGAGUGGUGGUGCGUAUAUAACGCCGUAACCUUUUUCCCGUAUCGCAUAUAAAUAUAAUAUACAUAUAUACGCGUAUAUAACGCCAUCUGGUCAUGGGUCAAUGCACAUGUAUAAAUGGAUGAAAUGCAUGAAAAAUACGUUAUAAUCUUAAUAUGCCUUCCGGAUAACCUUUUUCAACUGUAUAUUAUUCUGAGACCCGUGAACAGGAAAUAAUAAUAUUUUUUACGGGGAAUCAAGAAUAUAGACACCCCUAAUAACUCUAUGAAUAGAGUAAUUUAUGGAAACUGUGUAUUUGCUCGUUUCUUCAAUAUAAUUUGGACCAUGCCAAAAGAAAGAAGGGAUGACCUUAACAUACCUGAGUAGAAAAAACUCCGUAUAAUAUUCUUGGCGAAGAUUACACCAUACUCUUUUAGAAUCACAAAACUUGGACGGAAUUGCUUCAAAGUUCUUGGUUUUGAAAUGGAACAUUUUCUGCUUCUGAAAUUGAAACCUUGCUUUGUUUCGAAAUGAAAAUGCUUCUGCUUUAAUCGUUCUUGGCAGAUUUGUGUUGGGCUUUAAAGAACUCCCAAGAAGCAAUUUCAAUUGGAAUGAAAUGCCACCACUUACGUUCUUGGCUAGUCAAAGGCAGAUUGGUUUUUGCCUUUUUACAAAGAAUUCUCUAUCUUAUCCAAAGUCUUGUAAGAAUUAAUUUAUGGUAUAAAAGCCAUCUGGCAAGGUGACUUUAAGAGUCAUCUUUUGCCUAUUGUGGCUUUAUGACACGUGAAAUGGUGGGUGAAGAUUAUUAAUCUUUACCCACUUAUUAGUUAACUGAGUAAUGUCCCGUUAUCCGGUAAUUAAUUAAUUACCCGCAUAAUUGAGAAUUAUUCCCACUUACUUGAAAUAUUACUCACUUUUCACAUACCUUAUAUGCCUUACUAUUAUGGUCAUGUGGUACAUUGUAUGGUACUAGUCCAUAAAUACCGAGUAUUUUAGCUUGAGCCGUAUUUUAUCCCAAAAUACCAAAUUUCAACGAAAUUCAUUUUCUUAGACUUGCUCCCCCUUUCACCUUCAUGAAGUUACUAAUCACUUGUGAAAUAGCAUAAUCCUUAUAAUCCUCAAAUAAUCUUUUCCUUGGACUGAUGUCAAUUACCUUACGAUAAAUUCAACGUAAAAUACUAUAGGGUGCAACAUCGUCGUAACUUAUUAUUGCGAAGUGUAACAUCACUGUAAUGUAAUACUACAGGGUACAACACUUUCGUAACUUAAUAAUGCAGGACGUAAUAUCAAUCGUAACAUAUUACUGUAGAGCAUAACAUCGUCGUUAAUACUGCGGAACGUAAUAUUGACGUAAUAUUACAGGGCGUAACAUCACUCCCCUCUUUGGAACAUUCGUCCUCGAAUGUUGACUGAUGCUCUUAUCAUUUUUGUAACUUAUAGUUCUUGUGAAUACCUUAAUACUCUUCUUUCCAUUUAAGUAGUUGCUCUGUGAAUAAAUCUAAAGUCUAGGAUAUUCCCCCCUUUAGUCUUUUUGCUCAUAUCAUGACCUGUGGUCGAAAUCUUCCUAAUCUUGCAACUUCUGUUACCUCCUAUCAUGCAGCAUGUAUGACCCUGGCUUUGUAGGUGCACUUAUGCGAUUCAUCUUUCCUUCUUCCUUUUAUCUUUUAGUCAAUCUCUAGGCUUUACUUUGUAUAUACAAGGCUUAAUAGGAUGCCUCUCUAGGCCUCUAUAGG